GACCUAAUGGUGAAACGGUAUCGCGUCCGCACUUCGUAUGGGUAUAAAUGAUGUACUUCGUCGGAAGUUCCUGGUUCGAUUCCAGGUGAGGUCA